UGGAUUGAGAGUAGAUUAAUCUCUAGUAUGAUGCAUUCAAUCUUUUUAAUUAUUACUUCUUCUACUUAACUCGUUCUUCUACUAAUACGUUUUUCUUUUUAGAAAUAAAAAUGCCAUUUAUGUCUGCCUGUCACCACAUAGAAAGCUUUCCGAAAGACACAAUUCCUUGUUUCAAGAAGUUUUAUCGAUCAUCUGCAUUUCUUCACGUGAAUAACAAACGAAGGCACGCUACACUACUGCAAAUAAGUAUUUACAGAUAUCAAAGAAAGCGGUGAAAAGAAUGAAGUUUUUGAUCCUUGAGGUGUCCUUAUGCGCGUCUCUCCUCUAGGAAAUGCUGGAAUGAAGUGCAUCUAACGGGUGAACCUAUGGUACUGCAUCAUAAAAGCGGAAGAAGGAGGUGAAAUCAACUUGCCGACUGUUUAGCUGUGGUAAAAGCUAUCAAAUCCAUGAAUCCAGGAACCUAUUCAAUUCUCAAGAACAUCUCUGUCAUAAUGUGGUCGGACCCGUUCACCAAGGAAGGCACAUAGAAGACUGGCUUAUGAUGGCGAAAGACUUUUGAAGGCGGUUACCUUGAUUGGGAUCAUAUCUAUUAAACCUUCGAAUCCUGCACUCAAAAGUAAAUGUGAUACCAUUCAAAUGGAAUAAGAUUGAUUUGAAUUGGAAUUUGUUAUUCCUGUAUCAUAGUGCAUUUUUCUACUAGUUACCCUACGUAUUGUACAUUAUUGUAAUAAAGCACUAGC